ensembl:lncRNA
UGUAGUGCUGCCACUGCGGAUGCACUGACUGGGUAUUGUACAUUUUUUCCAACAUUGUGCAAAGUCAUAUCGACAAGAAUAAUACGAUGGAAGCAAAUCUCCAGUGUCCAGUCCUCAGCUGUCCUCUGAGUGUCUGUCUCAUGGAGAGAUGAGGGUGUCCUGCUCCUCUGAGGGGGAUGGUUCCCAGUACAGCUGGACUCUGGAUCGACAGACGCUGAGACACACUAAGGCCUCUUCUGAUAACGAGACAAACACCAUCACUCUGAAGAAAGGCCUGUCAGGAAAUCUCACCUGUACCGUCAGAAACUACAUCAGCAGUGAUUCUAUCAGCAAGAGAAUCUCACCUUGUCCAGGAGUCAGUGUGUUUGUUUAUUUCCAACUCGCUGAAGUCUUCAUUCUUCUGACAGUCUGUCUGGGAUCAUACUGUUUCUACAAGAAGGAAACCUAUCAUCGUAAAGAAGCCACAGACAUGGUGACCACCUGUAAUGCUACUCAGAACUUAUCCCAGUGUUCUGUUGUUCUGGAUGGAACUCUGGAUGUCUAGCUAAUGACCAACGCUAGUGGACGGGAACUGCUGUUUAAAAAGAACCUCUGAACCACAGGUGGCCAGUGUGAAAAAUUCUAUGACGUACACUUUUAGAUUUCUCCAAAUGUUCAGAUUUUCACACUCAACUUCACACUUUUUAACAUAAAAACAAAAAACAAAUUAUGUUCUAAGCCCAUAACAAUUCUUAAACCACAUCAGGAGAUAACUUUUGACGUCUGCACACUUACCCCAAAAGUGUGCAGACACCUAGCAAUGUUGUUUAGUUUGCAGUGUUUCUGUAGCACAUGAGAUGGAGUUUGCAAAGGAAAUGGCUACUGGUUUGAUGCAAAUAAUCAUGAUAUCAUUCUGACAGGUAGGCAUAAGCUACUUUGGAGCUACUGUAGUCAACAUUUAAUAGAGAGUUAACAUUUAAUACAGGUUUUUGGGAAAGCCUUUCCAUCUACCAGAAGACGGUUAUGCCUAUCAUUACCAUUGCUAUAUUUUUCCUUUUCCUUAAUUGUUUGAAACCUGGACAUUUUACUUCAUAUUAUGAGGAUGACUUACCUUGAAAGUAGCCCAUCACCAAAAUCCCACCAUAGAAACGUGGAGGAUAAUGCCUUCGACAUUAUCCUCACAUCUCCAUCUGAACCGAAAAUGAUUUGCAUUGAUACCCCCCCCCCCUUUGUUUUUACACUGCUGCUACUCGCUGUUUACUAUCGAUGCAUAGUCACUUUACCCUUACCUAUAUGUACAAAUGACCUCGAUUAACCUGUACUCCUGCACAUUCACUCGGUACCGGUACCCCAAGUAUAUAGCCUCAUUAUUGUCAUUUUAUUGUGUUCAUUUUUUAAAUGAAUUGUUUAACUUUAUUUAUUUAGUAAAUAUUUUGUUAACAUUUUGUUAAAACUGCAUUCUUGGUUUAGGGCUUGUAAGUAAGCAUUUCACAGUAAAGUCUACACCUGUUGUAUUCGGC